rnacentral:tRNA from 1 species
UAUGUUUUAGUAUAUGAUGUACAAGGGUUUUUGGUACUCUAGGGGAUAGUUUAAUUCUAUUAAAUAUAA